GUGAGGAAUUUUCCGCAAUGGGCGAAAGCCUGACGGAGCAAUGCCGCGUGAAGGAUGAAGACCUAUGGGUUGUAAACUUCUUUUCUCAGAAAAGAAUUAUGACGGUAUCUGAGGAAUAAGCAUCGGCUAACUCUGUGCCAGCAGCCGCGGUAAGACAGAGGAUGCAAGCGUUAUCCGGAAUGAUUGGGCGUAAAGCGUCUGUAGGUUGUUUAAAAAGUAUUCUGUCAAAGAUUAGGGCUUAACCCUAGAUAGGCAGAAUAAACUUUUAAGCUAGAGUGUGGUAGAGGCAGAGGGAAUUCCCGGUGGAGCGGUGAAAUGCGUAGAUAUCGGGAGGAACACCAAAGGCGAAGGCACUCUGCUGGGCCAAUACUAACACUGAGAGACGAAAGCGAGGGGAGCAAAUGGGAUUAGAAACCCGUGUAGUCC
rnacentral:rRNA from 1 species